GACGAACGCUGGCUUCGGGCUUAACACAUGCAAGUCGAACGGUGAAUCGCCUUCCUUUAUGGUUGGUGGGGAUGAGUGGCGAACGGUUUAGUAACACGUGAGGAACCUGCCCCCUUCUUCUGGAUAACCGCAUGAAAGUGUGGCUAAUACGGGAUAGUCUCGGUCUGUCUCAUCAUGGGUCUGGGAAAGAUAUUGCUUCGGUGUGGGUUUGGCUCGCGGCGUGUCAGCUUGGUGGUGGUGUGAUGGCCUAGCACGGCGGUGACGUGUAGCCGGCAUGAGAGGGUGGACGGUCAGACUGGGACAGAGGCACGGGACAGACGCCUACGGGAGACAGCAGUGGGGAAUAUUGCACAAUGGGUGGAAGCCUGAUGCAGCGACGGCGCGUGAGGGAUGGAGGCCUUCGGGUUGUGAAAGUCUUUCGCGAGUGAAGCAGGCCUGCAUUGUGUGUGGGUGGGUGGACGGUAGCUGGAUAAGAAGCGCCAGCUAACUACGUG
rnacentral:rRNA from 1 species